AUGCACACUAUCGCGCAGGCCACGGGCGGCACCUUCUCCUUCGUCGGGAACCAGGCGGCGAUCCAGGACUCGUUCGCGCAGUGCAUCGGCGGGCUCCUGUCGGUCGCCGUGCAGGAGGCGCGCAUCACCGUCACGUGCCUGCACCGUGGCGUGCGCGUCCAGGAAGUCAAGUCCGGCUGCUACGGCAACCACGUGGACGUCGACGGCCGCGCCGCCUCCAUCGACGUCGGCGAGCUCUACGACGGCGAGGAGAGGCGCUUCUUGGUGCUCGUGUACGUGCCGAGAGCCCGGCCCACGGAGUCGGGCACCCGCCUGGUGAAGGUGACCUGCGCCUACAAGGACGCCGCGACAGGGCAGGCCGCCAACGCCGCCGCACCCGCGGCGGUGAUCCAGAGGCCGCUGGAGCUGACCGACCUGCCGCCUCCGUGCAUGGAGGUGGAGCGGGAGCGCGUCUGCCUCGCCGCGACCCAGGACAUCGCGGCCGCACGGGAUGCCGCUGAAGGAGGGCAGCACGCCGGCGCGGCACGGAUGCUGGACUCCCGGCUGAAGGCCGUGGAGCGGUCGGCGCCGGGGAUGGCGGGAGAUGAUCCCACGUGUGAGGCGAUCAAGGAGGAGCUGCGCGACCUGAGCGCCCGCGUGGGCGACCGGCGGGAGUACCAGCAGACGGGGCGCGCGGCCCUUCUGGCCGGCAUGAGCUCGCACUCGCAGCAGCGAGCCUCGGCGGUGGAGCUGCAGUCGGCGAGCAAGCCCCGGGCGUACCGGACUCCCAAGAUGGAGGAGAUGAUGGAGAGGUCGCGUGAGCAGAGCAGGAAGCGUGGCAACAGCGGCGGAUCCAGCCAGCUUAAUAAACACAUCAAGCAAGACCUGACCGACGACUAA
rnacentral:rRNA from 1 species